UGGAUGUGAUGACAUGACCUGAGCCUGACCUAUCCCGGUGGAGGCAAAAACUGAUUUAAUGAGUCUGAUCC